rnacentral:rRNA from 1 species
UAUGGUAAUUGUCAGCCGCCGCGGUAAUACGGAAGGUCCGGGCGUUAUCCGGAUUUAUUGGGUUUAAAGGGAGCGUAGGCCGGAGAUUAAGCGUGUUGUGAAAUGUAGAUGCUCAACAUCUGAACUGCAGCGCGAACUGGUUUCCUUGAGUACGCACAAAGUGGGCGGAAUUCGUGGUGUAGCGGUGAAAUGCUUAGAUAUCACGAAGAACUCCGAUUGCGAAGGCAGCUCACUGGAGCGCAACUGACGCUGAAGCUCGAAAGUGCGGGUAUCGAACAGG